rnacentral:lncRNA from 1 species
UGCUCCCUAAGUACUCCACAGAGGAGUCCCCAGCCCCGAUGCUGCCCCGAUGGCCAUAGGGGCACAGCCAAAACAGCACUCUCAAGAGGCAAGUUUUCAAGGACAACCCCAACUUCAAAAACCACCCUGAGCCAUCGUCUCUUUGCAAACUGGUUCCCCAGAAUGGAAGGUGAUUAGAAUUGCAGGGGUGGGGCUGGGGGGUGUGCAGGGAGGGAGAGAAUGGCGAUGCCUCUCUCAACACUGGAGAGCAAGCCCGGUGCCCCCUCCCAUGGGGUCAGGGAGGGGAGAGACAGCCAUGCUCCGUGUAACUGCCACCCACUGGCUGGUCCUCUAGGCUGAGUCGUGCCCCCAUCCAGGUCCCUAUCACGAGGUGGAGACCAUGGUAGCCCCCUCCCCCUCAGGGGCCUGUUGGGAUGGUCACCUGUAAAGGACCAAACUCCAGCAGCAUGGCCUCCCCUGUGUCAUGGGGAGCUCCGAGUUCCACCUCCCAGUCCGAUCUGCACACAGUCACUCUGAGUCUGCGCAGGGCAGGGCCCUGGCCUCCAUGCUGCGCGCAACACAGGACUAGGACCCACUCCCUGGCCCCUGGGCACUCACAGCCCCAGAGCAAGAGCGGAGUCAGGCAAGCUCCUGGAAGACGGGCUGCACCCCCACAGACAGAGUGGGAAGGGUCCGCGGGCGCCCGCGGUAGGGGGACAAGCAGGCUGGAGUUAGGAGUGGGCCUGAGGUCAGGCUCUGAUUUGCCAACUAGGCGAGGCUGCUCUUGGCUGCAGAAGCUGAAGGAACACAGGAAGGGAAGCUCAGAUGUUGCCAGAAGCAGGCACGCAGCUGGGACUGGGCGAAGGGUCUGUCCCGCGACACGAGCCAGGAGAGCAGAUCUGGGACCUGUGCAGGGCAUGGCUCUGCAGUGGAACCAGCGUAUACUCAAUGCCAUAAUGCAGAAGGGUCUUCUUGGUCUAGCUUUUGAUAGACAGCAUUUGCCCCCAUAA